rnacentral:rRNA from 1 species
UACGAAGGGGGCUAGCGUUGCUCGGAAUCACUGGGCGUAAAGGGUGCGUAGGCGGGUCUUUAAGUCAGGGGUGAAAUCCUGGAGCUCAACUCCAGAACUACCUUUGAUACUGAAGUAUCUUGAGUUCGGGAGAGGUGAGUGGAACUGCGAGUGUAGAGGUGAAAUUCGUAGAUAUUCGGAAGAACACCAGUGGCGAAGGCGGCUCACUGGCCCGGUACUGACGCUGAGGUG